GUCUAUGGCUAUACCACACUGAAUGUUCCCAAUCUCAUCUGACCUGGGAAGCUAAGCAGGGUUAUGCCUGGUUAGUACUUGGAUGGGAGAUAGUAGAAGAGAUAAAUUGCAGUAUUUU
rnacentral:rRNA from 1 species